rnacentral:misc_RNA from 1 species
GAUGAAUAACGCAGCGAAAUGCGAUACGUAAUGUGAAUUGCAGAAUUCAGUGAAUCAUCGAAUCUUUGAACGCAUAUUGCGCUCUCUGGUAUUCCGGAGAGCAUGCUUGUUUGAGUAUCAGUAAACACCUCAACUCCCUUUUCUUUUUUGAAAUUGGAGCUGGACUUGAGUGAUCCCAACGCUUUCUUCCAAGAAAGUGGCGGGUUGCUUGAAAUGCAGGUGCAGCUGAACUUUUCUCUGAGCUAUAAGCAUAUCUAUUUAGUCUGCCUAAAAAACAGAUUAUUACCUUUGCUGCAGCUAACAUAAAGGAGACUAGUUCUUGUGCUGACUGAUGCAGGAUUCACAGAGACAGCUUCGGCUGACUUUGUAAACUCGAUCUCAAAUCAAGUAAGACUACCCGCUGAACUUAAGCAUAUCAAUAAGCGGAGGA